GCGGGGCGGGAGGAGGAGAAGCCCCGGGACCCCCCGACCCGCUCCCGAGUUCCAAAAUGACCUUUCCCCGCAUCGUUUCGGAGGUAACCGAGCUGCCUAAUUAUAUUUGCACUUCCAGAAGACUGCAUCAGAGUCCCCUUAUUGGUUUGAAAUUCCAUUAAAUAUAUUGCAAGAGCUCCUAGGUUAAGCUUGAUUUAAAUUUGCAUACAUUUUCAUAUAUUUAGCAGAAAUAAAAGAAGGCUUGCAGCUACCAGAAAGUCAUUAAGGCAUUAGUUUCUCUGAGAAGACAGAUCUGAAGAAAAUUCAAGAAAAUGAGAAAAUAGAUCUAAAUAAGGUGGAGUUGAAUACAAUGUGAUUAACUACAAGCAAUGUGUUGUGAAGAUGAUGGUAUUCAGACACAUACCCAAACAAUUUGAUUCAGAUAAAUUGGAUGCAAGACUUUGACCAGCGUGAGAAGAACAGUGUCUUUCAGAUGAAGAAAGUGAAAUCCUUUUCUGCCCCUGGUGUCUGAGUAAAUUGAUAUCAAAUACUCCAAUGAAAAGACAACUGUUGUCAGCAGAGGCAAGCAACAGGAAAAUCUGGGACAGGAGGUGGCUGAAGUGCUCCAAAGGGAAGAGUCUGAAGAUGGGAACCACCUCCACCUCCGGGACUCUCCGUACCUGUGAAGCUGCUGGGGGGAGAGGAGCUCCAGCUCCAGGGAUACCCAAGGCACUGUGGAAGCAGGGAGCAUCCUAGACCCGUGGAGGAGCUCAGCAGGAGAAGAAUCAGUAGGAGAAAAUAGUCCUAAUGUUGUGUUGCUGCUGGUGGGUCAGGCAGUUUGGACAGAGGUCUGCGCUGCUCUAGCUCGUUGGAAACUUCUGUGCUUGGACCAGGAGGAUGCUACAGAUGGAGCUGAUCUGUGAAUUUCAAAUCUGUGCCUCCACCAGUGUUGACACGGUGCAAUGAUGCAGCCGAGCUCUCAGAUGUCUGGCUCGAAGAGUUGUGAAAUGAUCAAGCAGACAAACCCAACCAUUUCAGCCUUGUCAAUCUAGUUCUCAGUGGACAGAUGCCCUGGUGCUGGAAAAGCAGCAUGCCCUGCAACACCUCUUGGCAGCGUGGAAAAAAAGAGCCAGAGAUCUCUGAGACACGAAGCACGACCGGAUUCUCAGCUCCAA